rnacentral:rRNA from 1 species
GUCGCUGGGAAUAGACGCGAAGCGGGAUGAUCUACCCUUGGCCAGGAUGAAGUCCGUGUAACAGCGGAUGGAGGUCCGAACCAGUGUUGGUUGAAAACAGCUUGGAUGAGCUGAGGGUAGGGGUGAAAGGCUAAUCAAAUUCCGUGAUAGCUCGUUCUCUCCGAAAUAGCUUUAGGGCUAGCCUCGCGGGGUCCGUACCGGUGGUAGAGAUCUGGAUGAACUAGGGGCCUUCCCAGGUUACCGAAUUCAACCAAACUUCGAAUGCCGUAAACGAGUAGCGCGGGAGUCAGACGGCGGGGGCUAAGCUUCGUCGUCAAAAGGGGAAGAGCCCAGACCAUCAACUAAGGUCCCUAAAUUCAUGCUAAGUGGGAAAGGAAGUCGAGAGGCUCAGACAGCCAGGAGGUUGGCUUAGAAGCAGCCAUCCUUUAAAGAAAGCGUAAUAGCUCACUGGUCGAGGAACUCGGUGCCGACAAUCCAACGGGGCUCAAGCAUGAUACCGAAGUUAUGGAUCCGAUGCGCAAGCAUCUGGGUGGUAGGAGAGCGUUCUUAAGGAAGUGAAGGCGUACCGUGAGGAGCGCUGGAUCGUUAGGAAGUGACUCUGCCAGCAUAAGUAGCGAAAAACCAGGUGAGAACCCUGGUCGCCGUAAGUCUAAGGUUUCCUGAGAAAGGUUAAUCCGCUCAGGGUUAGUCGGGGCCUAAGGCGAGGCCGAAAGGCGUAGCUGAUGGACACACGGUUAACAUUCCGUGACUACCUUUGUUCGAUCAAGACCGAAGGGGGGACGCAGCGCGAAAGUCCGGGUGCGCAAUGGUUACAAUCCCGGGUGUAGCGAGAUCCGAAUAGGUAAAUCCGUCGGGUCGUCUGCCAGGAAAAUCCUCUAAGGAGAAUCGAGGUACCCGUACCACAAACAGACACAUGUGGACGAGAAGAGUAUUCUCAGGCGCUCGGGUGAUGGGUUGUUCAGGAACUAGGCAAUAUAGCUCCGUAACUUCGGGAUAAGGAGUGCCUCCAGCAAUGGGGGCCGCAGUGAAUGGCGUCAGGCGACUGUUUAACAAAAACACAGGUCUCUGCUAAGUCAAUAAAACGACGUAUAGGGGCUGACGCGUGCCCGGUGCUGGAAGGUUAAAGGGAGAGGUUAGCCGCAAGGCGAAGCUUUGAACUGAAGCCCCAGUGAACGGCGGCCGUAACUAUAACGGUCCUAAGGUAGCGAAAUUCCUUGUCGGGUAAGUUCCGACCUGCACGAAUCGCGUAACGAUCUGACGACUGUCUUAACAACUCGCCCGGCGAACUUGUGGUUCCGGUGAAGACGCCGGAUGCCCGCAUCAAGACGGAAAGACCCCGUGCACCUUUACUAUACCCUAUCAAUGAAUUAUGGGAUGCUCUGCGCAGAAUAGGUGGGAGGCUUUGAACUCAGGCUCUUGGGCUUGAGGGAGCCACCCGUGAGAUACCACCCUGAGUAUUCUGUGAUUCUAACUUACUCCCGUUAUCCGGGAGAAGGACAUUGAUAGGCGGGUAGUUUGACUGGGGCGGUCGCCUCCUAAAUUGUAACGGAGGCGCUCGAAGCUUGGUUCACGCUGUUUGGAAAUCAGCGGUUGAGUGCAAAGGCAUAUACCAGGUUGACUGCGAGACCAACAAGUCAAGCAGGUGGGAAACCAGGACUUAGUGAUCCGGUGGUUCUGUAUGGAAGGGCCAUCGCUCAACGGAUAAAAGGUACGCCGGGGAUAACAGGCUGAUCUGAGCCAAGAGUUCACAUCGACGCUCAGGUUUGGCACCUCGAUGUCGGCUCAUCGCAUCCUGGGGGUGUAGAAGCUCCCAAGGGUUAGGCUGUUCGCCUAUUAAAGCGGUACGUGAACUGGGUUCAGAACGUCGCGAGACAGUUCGGUCCCUAUCUGAUGUGGGCGCAGGAGAUUUGAGAGGGCUUGUCCUUAGUACGAGAGGACCGGGAUGAACCAACCUCUUGUGAUCCAGUUGUCACGCCAGUGGCAUAGCUGGGUAGCGAAGUUGGGUCAGGAUAAGCGCUGAAUGCAUAUAAGCGCGAAACCUUCCUCGAGAUGAGAUCUCCCAAGGGUUGAGUCCCUAAUAAGGGCCGUGGAAGACUACCACGUCGAUAGGACGGAUGUGUAAGCGUAGUAAUACGUUGAGCUGACCGUUACUAAUAGCCCGUUCGGCUUGACC